rnacentral:lncRNA from 1 species
AAAAAAAGGCGUUUGCAAUCAUGAACUUGAGUGCAGCCUUGUGUCCUUGUGUCAGUAGCUUUAUGUUCCCUCGUUCUGACGCUGGUACAAGCAUUUUUGAAGAAAAAAUGAAAUACGAAGGAAAUACAUAUUCCCUCCGUCACGAAGAGUGCAAUUCUACGAGGGGUAGCGUGAGAAGAGUCCAAUAUUCUUAUUUGUUGGCCACAUACAGUAAGUUUUGGU